rnacentral:rRNA from 1 species
CCCUUAGAUGUUCUGGGCCGCACGCGCGCUACACUGAUGCAUUCAACGAGUCUAAAACCUGCUCUGAUAGGGGUGGGUAAUCUUUUGAAUGUGCAUCGUGAUUGGGAUAGAUGAUUGCAAUUUUUCAUCUUCAACGAGGAAUGCCUAGUAAACGCAAGUCAUCAGCUUGCAUUGAUUACGUCCCUGCCCUUUGUACACACCGCCCGUCGCUCCUACCGAUUGAAUGAUCCGAUGAAUAUCAUGGAUUGAGGAUGCAAGUAGGUUAGCCUAUCUUCAUCUUCGAGAAGUGAAGUAAAUCUUAUCAUUUAGAGGAAGGGGAAGUCGUAACA